rnacentral:rRNA from 1 species
AGAGUUUGAUCCUGGCUCAGAGCGAACGCUGGCGGCAGGCCUAACACAUGCAAGUCGAGCGGCCGUAGCAAUACGGCAGCGGCAGACGGGAGGGUAACACGUGGGAACGCGCCCUUCGGUUCGGAAUAACUCAGGGAAACUUGGGCUAAUACCGGAUACGCCCUUACGGGGAAAGAUUUAUUGCCGAAGGAACGGCCCGCGUCCGAUUAGCUUGUUGGUGAGGUAACGGCUCACCAAGGCGACGAUCGGUAGCUGGUCUGAGAGGAUGACCAGCCUCACUGGGACUGAGACACGGCCCAGACUCCUACGGGAGGCAGCAGUGGGGAAUAUUGGACAAUGGGCGCAAGCCUGAUCCAGCCAUGCCGCGUGGGUGAUGAAGGCCCUAGGGUUGUAAAGCCCUUUCAGCGGGGAAGAUAAUGACGGUACCCGCAGAAGAAGCCCCGGCUAACUUCGUGCCAGCCGCCGCGGUAAUAC